rnacentral:misc_RNA from 1 species
GGGAACUUCAGAUGCUAGUUUUGUAUCACAUACUUCGCAUUCUAAGAUUUCAAAUGACUUUCAUAAAGGUCAAUCUCGUGAAAGCAUACAUGAAAUGGAACUGGAGCGUUUAACAAGGCUCAGUUCACUCUCUUGGGAGUCUCAAUGCAACUUGGUUGGAAACAUCAGAAACAUGUUGACACAAAACGAUGAAGCUAGCAAUUGGAUGUCAUCGGACAAUUUUAUUCAAAAACUUUUCAGAUUCUUGAAAGAUGCGCAUAAAUGUGAUGAUCAGGAUGCUCAAUUAUUGG